rnacentral:lncRNA from 1 species
CAGUAACAAUGUUAUUUUCUGAUCAGUUCAGUAAUACAAUGCCCUCUGAUGUUCACACCAGCAUCUCACUGGAGAAGAAAAGAAUGUUGUUGGCUACCUGGGACCAGAAGACUUCUUAGUGAAUCCUGCAAUGGACUGACCUCAUCUUCCCGAGGCUGUGAUGUUUCAGGAGAGUUUCACUAUUGCUGACCAACUGAGACCACCAGGAGCUCCUAAGUGCAAAGAAUGGCUACAUCUUUUCUUCUGGAUACCACCAGAUCAUUCCAGCCACCUGCCUUUGUGGUGUCUCCAGACAAGGGCUGACAACCAUCGAAGCAUCGAAACCCUAAGGCUACUUGGAGAGAAGAAGACUGUCCCUGGAGAAGGCGUGGGUGACUGAUUUUUAAGAAAUCGGCAACACGGAAGCUGAUUAUAAAAUAUUCAUAAGAAGCUGGCUUUUACAGACCCAUAACUGGUGUUACACCCCCACUCCCUGCCACCACAAAUACUGAGUCCAUUCCAGGAAUAGAAACCGCCGAAGGAUUACAUUCUCCACGGAGAACGAUCUCUAUGAAGGUAGCUAACCGAGCCAGCUUUUCCCCUUUUAUAAGCAACAGUUCCUGUGUCUUGCUGCUCCUAAAACUGAUGAGUGCUGUGUAUGACCAAUGAAUAAUUGAAUCUAACUACUGAUUAAAUUAUUUCUCCAGGUGUGCAAUGUCUGUGAAAUACGGUGCCAACAAAAGAAUUCCAAACUGUGGCAGUCUUUUCAUGAGAUAAUCACAUAUAAAAUCAGGAUUGUUUCUUUUACAAAUGGGAGUCUACGACGAAUCCAUUGUUCUUCAAAGGCAGGAAAGGGCUCUUACUUAUUAUUGGGCUAGUCCUCAUUACGGCCACCUGAAUGAAUCCAAAGUACUUCCAAAAAUAAAUGGUUUCAUGACUUUUGUAUGUUUAAACACCUAGGCUUUUGUUUAUUUUUUCAAGUCUGAUAUUUUCCACCUCAUUAUUCACCUCUUAAAACGUCUGUAUCCGGCUGGGCCAUUUUAAACAAGUUUGCUGAUGGCUUGCUUUGCCCUCCUGGAAUUGUUUGGUUUCCUUGUUAAGGUGAAGAAUGUUGUAAAAGGGGCAGUCUCCUAAGUUGUGACCUCAAAGGGUGGUGUCUGAAUCUCUCCUCUUUUGUGUCUGAUCAGGAAGAAGAUGGACAAUGUCUAUACGCCAUCUUCAGUUGGUAACGCUGUGGCAGUUAGCAUAACCAGUGCUAGGCAAGAUUCAACCGCACUGGCUGCGGUAUGCGUGGCCAACCGGAGUGAGGACAAAUCCCAUUCCGUCUGAAGACUGUCUCCUGCCAGAGAUCAAAUGCAGCUCGCACAUACAUGACACCAAGCAGAAGCAAGUACUAUUCCAUUACAAAUGAAGCAGAGAGAGCCAGAAUUAUUUGGUCAGCUUGGUAUUCAAAAUGGUUGAGAUUCUGACCUUCCCACUCCUUCCUUAAUUAUCUUGAUAAUUUUGGCAAGAGGAGGUUUGUGGGGUGGAGAGGGAUAAUUCUGAAAGAAUUAAAUAAUUAUAGCAGUCAGGAAAUCCAUCCAGGGUUUUAUAAAUUC